rnacentral:lncRNA from 1 species
CCGAGAGUUGAGUGGGAAAUUUGCAGCUUUGAUUCGAUAACCUGGGAUAAUCUGAGCAGGAAUUUGGGAUUAACUAAGUAAAAACAAGGAGAUUAAGACUUGCAUGUCGUGUUUAUGUGCGUUGAUGGGAUUAAGAGCAAGAAAAAAAUCUGUUUUGGUGAAAAUAGAAUGUGCCGUGAGAUGAUUCAGAAUUUCAGCUUUAAUCUUGUUUAAAUUGGAGUAAUAUGAACUUAUAGCUAUGAUUAACUAGUUAAUAACUAGGUGUGUAAGUCUGGCAUGAGGCUAAUCCGUUCGGCUAAAGAAGAAAAAA